UGUUACCUACGGGGGGCAGCAGUGGGGAAUAUUGCACAAUGGGGGAAACCCUGAUGCAGCAACGCCGCGUGAGUGAAGAAGUAUUUCGGUAUGUAAAGCUCUAUCAGCAGGGAAGAAGAUGACGGUACCUGAGUAAGAAGCCCCGGCUAACUACGUGCCAGCAGCCGCGGUAAUACGUAGGGGGCAAGCGUUAUCCGGAUUUACUGGGUGUAAAGGGAGCGUAGACGGUGAGACAAGUCUGAAGUGAAAGCCCGGGGAUCAACCCCGGGACUGCUUUGGAAACUGCAUGACGGGAGUGUUGGAGG
rnacentral:rRNA from 1 species